AUUGAACGCUGGCGGCAGGCUUAACACAUGCAAGUCGAGCGAGCGGCGGACGGGUGAGUAAUGUCUGGGAAACUGCCUGAUGGAGGGGGAUAACUACUGGAAACGGUAGCUAAUACCGCAUACCAUCAGAUGUUCCCAGAUGGGAUUAGCUAGUAGGUGGGGUAAUGGCUCACCUAGGCGACGAUCCCUAGCUGGUCUGAGAGGAUGACCGGCGAGACUGGCACUGAGAAACGGUCCAGACUCCUACGGGAGUCAGCAGUGGGGAAUAUUGCACAAUGGGCGCAAGCCUGAUGCAGCCAUGCCGCGGGUGUGAAGAAGGCCUUCGGGUUGUAAAGCACUUUCAGCGAGGAGGCGGGAGACGAAGAAGAAGCACCGGCUAACUCCGUGCCAGCAGCAGCGGUAAUAG
rnacentral:rRNA from 1 species